rnacentral:rRNA from 1 species
UACGGAGGGGGGCUAGCGUUGUUCGGAAUUAUUGGGCGUAAAGCGCACGUAGGCGGCAUUGCAAGUCGGAUGUGAAAUCCCUCGGCUUAACCAAGGAAGUGCAUCCGAAACUGCAGUGCUUGAGUACUUAAGAGGAUCGCGGAAUUCCCGGUGUAGAGGUGAAAUUCGUAGAUAUCGGGAGGAACACCAGUGGCGAAGGCGGCGAUCUGGGAAGAUACUGACGCUGAGGUGCGAAAGCGUGGGGAGCAAACAGG